CCUGGGAAGGAAAGAGAAAGAUGCCAACCUGAGGGACGGGGUGGCAAGGGGAGGGGAGAGAACAGCAUGGGGCUGAGCUGGAGAUGUUCCCCUUGUCCGUGCCCCACAGGUUGCAGGGAUAAUAACUCCAGUAGAAGUUCUGCGACCAGCUGUGGGGGCAUUGCAGGCAAAUGGAACAAUGUGUAAAACAACAGCAGAGGCAUGAAACUGCAGAACUCAUUAAUUCAGAUGCAAUGUGGGGAUGUUCCACAGCAGCUUCACGUGGAUGUUGUGAGGGUGAAAAAGGAGGAAACACAUUUUAGAUACAUAAGGAAACGUCCUAGAAAUCCAUCCGGUCUCCUUUGUUGA
rnacentral:lncRNA from 1 species